GCCAAUCAGCCCUCCUUGGGAAGCCGCCGUCCUUGCCCGCUCUGCUCCUGGGGUCCCACCCAAGCUUCAAUCCUCGCUGUGUGGUCUUCCCUCCGUGAGCCUUCAUUUCCUCAUCGGUAAAAUGGGGGAGAGGAGAGCGCGGGGGUCAGCCCUGAGCCUGGCUGGUUGGCUACUUAAUGGGCUUCUGGUACCUUGACCACCAUCUUUGACAGCCUCAGUUUACAGAUGAGGCCCUGAGGCCUGGAGGAAAGGAUUAGGCUGCCUGGGAUGUGGGUGAGAGGUCUGAUUCUGACCCGGUGAAGUGAGCUCCUGUCCCCUCUGGGGUUCCCCAGCAGGCAUUAAGGGAGGGGUCAGACGAGGUCCCCCUACCGUGGCCAGAUGUGCAGCGACCUUGGGCUGUAACCUCAGGGGGUUCGCGCCCCCCACAGCCUGCUGGGGACUGACCAGGCCUGGGGGAGACUGGGGGAGCGAGGGGCUGGGAGGGAAUACCACCUGGCCGGACGAGGCCCACACCGCCCUGCCAGCCUGGCAUCUCUGCUCUCCCAGGCUCAGCCAACACCCGCUCUAGGACUCAGCCAACUAUUUGUGGGCUGCUAAGUAGCAUGACAGCUGCUUUUCUUGCUAAAGUAUGACAUUACAUUUUUCCGGAUGGCCGGGCACUUCCUGGCCUGAAGUGUGCUAAGUGACAGCCUCACUCUGUCCCGCUGCCCCCCGAGUCCCUGCCCGCCUCCCUGCUUUGUCCAGGCUGGCUUGCAGGGCCAGGCCGAGACCCGUCCUGGCCUGUGUUCAGACAGAGCCUAGUACGGGCCCCCAGGGCUGCAGGUGGCCCAGGAAACUUCCCCGGGGUUAUUUUUGGCCUCUGUGCUGGCCCAUGGACUCCCUGCCAAAAGCAAUUACUGAAUUUUCAUCUUGUUUUGCUGAUGGUUUAGACUAUGUCAAAAAUGUUCCACUGGAAGGCCUGAGGGCACCUCGGGCUGGGGGAUGUGGGGCUCGGGAGCCCAGCUGUGGCCGGGUCCCCGGAAUAGAUCUCUGGGGUUGCUGGCGAGAAGAAGGAGGACAGGGGAGCCGGGGCCUGUUUGUUUGUAGCUGCCACUGGGUGCUUCCCACACGCACAGCGUGCUCGGCUGGUGGUCAUGCUCCCUGCGCCCUCUGCCAGCUGUGCGUGUCCUUCUCUCCCACUUUACAGAAGAAGAAACAGGUUCAGGGAAAGGGCCGAGGGCAUGCCCAGGCUGCACUCUGUUCUGUGGGCUGCCGCACUUCCAGCGCAGAAGGAUUUCCCUGGCUCAGGGGUGGCAGGGACUGGGGGCUGGGGAGGCCACGGGGAACAAGGCAGGGUCUGCCCAGGCCCUCUUCUCACUGCCCGGGGCGAGGGGUGUCCGAACCAAUCAGAUCUUUCCUAAGUUAAAUGUCUGUGUUGCGGGCUUCGGCUACUCUGUUCAUCCUCCUGGGAAUUGCCCAAAUGGCAGCCAGGUGGAUGCAGGAGAAGGUUGGAGGGAAGGCUGGAAAUCAGAGGGGGCCGCCCUCAGGCUUCUGUCCAUCUGCAGGGGCCCCACUGGCAAGCAGCACCUCUCCAGAACUCUGUGUCCCUUCCUCUCCCCUCCGCAGCAGCCCUGGGAGGCAGAUGCUGCCAUGAAACCACGGUGCCCUCAAGAAACCUGGCCAUGAGGGGGCUUCCUGCCUGCCCACGGCCCUGCAGGUCAUGGUAAGGGGUGGUCCUGGAGUUUGUGCCCUGGCACUUCCAUUCCAGAGUCACUGCCAGGACCUUAAGCCUGGAGCUCCCCAGGCUGCAUGGCAGUGGCUUGCUAUGCAGGCCAUGGCUGGGGUGAAGGGUGCCUGGGGCGAGGGGACAUGUCACUUGGGGCCCUGGGUUGCCUGGCCUGCUGGGGGCCCCCUUGUUGCUCAGCUGCUGUCCUGGGGUCACGGCUCUCGGCCACUCUGCUCACUUGCAGUUCCUGGGAGCCUGUGGACAUCGUGUUCUCGAGCCUGAAGGACCAGCAGGGCCCUGGGUGAACGGGGCGGUCCAGGGCCAGGGCCUGUGCUCACACUCCUGCGUGCAUUCCCACGCUUCAGCAAAGCAAUGCCGCCUCCUAUCUGACAGGCUCAGGGUGGCCCUUCGUGGGUAUUGUCACCACAUUCGCUUGUGCAUCAGACGCUUUUUGAGGAAGCUCAGGCCCAGCUUCAUACCAGGCACUGGGAUGGGGGUCAGCCCUGCCUUGAGGGCUGACCAGUUCCAGAGGGGAGACACACUGAAAACCAUCACACCCUCGGCAGGCUGGGGCAGGGCAGAGGGGCACAGGCACCAAGACACAGGAGAGCCAGGUCAGGGCAGAGGGGCACAGGUCCCCGGACACAGGAGAGCCGGGGCAGGGCAGAGGGGCACAGGACUCGGGACAUAGGAGAGCCGGGGCAGGGCAGAGGGGCACAGGCCCCCAGACACAGGAGAGCCGGGGCAGGUCAGAGGGGCACAGGACCCGGGACAUGGGAGAGCGGGGACAGGCUGCUUCCUGGAGGAGGUGAUGCCUGAGCUCAGUGAAAAAACACAUGUGUGGGGCCAGCCAGGGGAUCGGGUUAUGCAGGGCGAGGCUGCCCCAGGUACUUGGGAGGGAGGUGGCCCUGGGUGGGUGUUGGGGCCGUUGGCGGCAGGUGCAUCUGCCCUGGUGUCUGCCAAGGCAGAGCCCAGACUGGACGGCUCAGCGCUGGCCUGGGUGUGGGCGACGCUUGCAGGGGCCGUGUGGGUGUCUGCGUGUGAGUGCCCAUUGUGAGUCUCGUGUACCUGUGUUCACAUGGCUAGGGUCCGGCUUCCAGCUGGUCCUGUCGCCCUGGGAUGCCACACGUAUUGUAAUUACAUCUGGGAUUUCAGGGGGAGGAGGAGAUGGGGUGCCUGCAUGCCUCCUAAAAUGUUUGAAGGCCUUAUAUUGGAAGAAUGGGAAUGUCUGCCUGAGGGGCUUGCCCAUAUCGACAGAGAAGCCCGCCUCCUCCUGCAGAUAAGGAGUGGGGUUUGCUUCUUGCGCAUGGAGGAUGGGUACAGGGCUCUGCUGUCCUGAAACGGACAGGCCUGCCAGCUCAGUUGAUAGAGAGGGGGCUGGAAAGCUUGCCCGGGUGUCCCGCCCCCAUGGCUGGGACACGAACUGGCCUUGAACCCACCCAGCCCCGGCCUCCCCUGCGUCCCCCAGGCUGGCGGCCUCACUCUGUGGCUGUGGGGCCUUUUCCCUUCCAGCUCCUGGCCCUGUUUUCCUGGGUCUUGUAUGGGCGGGGGCCUUAUGAAUGUACCAUCCAAGUAGAAAAGAUGGGCUCACCACAUGAACGCAGCUUCCAGACACCUCCAGCUGUGUCUCCCCAGGACCCUUCCAUGGAGGUCUGACAGCCCUGGCCCAGGCAGAACACGGCCUCAGCGUGCUCCUGUGGACCCUGGUGGGAGCCCCAGGAGCCGCGGUGAUGGGGUGAGUCGGGCCAACUUCUUGGCUGUUGCCUGUGGCCCAUCAACGCCUGCGGGUGGACGCCCUUCAGGGCCAGAGCAGGCGCCUCAGCGUGCAGACACUGUCUGGCUCUCUUUCUGCGUUUUCUUCAUCUGGAUUCUGUUGGGACAACAAUCAAGGCUGUCUCGUUCUGUCUGUGGAAUGGGCCUCACCUAGCAAGAAGCCCCAGGGGCCCCCAGGGCUGGGUUACCGGCAGAGAGAAGCCACUGCGACCUUUGCCCUCCCUAAAUCCAGAGGUAUUUGGCCCAGAAGCUCCUCCCUGAGUCCUUGCUGGAGCAUUUGUCUUCAAACGGAGGAGGAGAACCAAUGGAGUCUCAUUCUGCGGCUCACUGCAACCUCCACCUCCCGGAUUCAAGCGAUUCUCCUGCCUCAGCCUCCCAAGUAGCUGAGAUUACAGGCAUGCGCCACCAUGCCUGGCAAAUUUUUGUGUUUUUAGUAGAGACGGGGUUUCACCAUGUUGGCCAGGAUGGUCUCAAUCUCUUGACCUCGUGAUCCGCCCGCUUUGGCCUCCCAAAGUGCUGGGAUUACAGGUGUGAGCCACUGUACCCGGCCUCAGGUAGUAUCUUUAUAGCAGUGUGAGAAUGGGUUAAUACAAUGUGCAGGGCCUUAAGCUGUGGCUGACUGGUAGAAGCAGCUCAAUAAAUGGUGGAUGGAUGGAUGGAUGGAUGGAUGGAUGGAUGGAUUCACUAAUUACUGACUCACUUGUUGGGUGUGGUAGAGCAUCAGAUCACAGACCUUAGAGCCUGGCUUCCAAGGUUUGAAUCUGUGAUAUACUGACUCCAUAAUAUUAAGUGAUUUAUGUAAUGUUCCCAUGCCUCAGUUUCCUCAUCUGUAAAAUAAAGUCCAAAGAUUUCUGUUCUUUUUCAA